UGGAGAUCCUGCCCCGUCGCCCCAGUGUUCAGACUACCUGUUCAGGACAAUGCCGUUGUACAGUAGUCUGCACAUUGGUUAGACUGGGCAAGGGCCAGCA
rnacentral:pre_miRNA from 11 species